rnacentral:lncRNA from 1 species
GGCCAGAGCUGGAGGGGUUGGGUGAGCACAGCGUGAAUCAAGGUUGCUGUGGAGAGUGGGUGAGCCAUGAUCUGCAGUGAAAAGGAAGAGACACAGCGGGGUGGGAAAGACCUGGGGGAAUCCACGCUGCUUCCAGCCUGUCCACAGGAUGCUCUGUGCCGCCCCUGCCUACCUUGGGUGAGGUCUCGUGUGGACCACCAGGACAGGUUACAUCGAUUUCACCACGACAGGAAAGAAAAUGAAGGAUGGUCCACAUGUGGUGCACCCUGAAUAUUUUGGGGACCGAGUGCACCCUGGGGUCCCAAGCAGGAGCACAUCCCAACGUCUCCCUGCUCACAAUGGCUUCCCGGAUGAUUGUGCACGACGCUGAUACUCCUAGUGCAUUAACGCAAAGACAAAAUUCCAUUUCACAGUUGUCAGAACAGCCGCGGUCCCUCCCAUUGUGACCGAAGCCAUCCCCACUCCACUCCCAGACCGAGUCGGUGCAGGGAGGAAGGGCUGGGUGGGGACGGGAGGGACAGCAGGCGGUGGGGCGGGCAGCUGGACACUGGGGCCGGAUCCGUGGAUUCUCCAUUUGCUUUGUAUUUUACAGCGUGCUCUCUCGCUCACAGGCCACCUUUGUGGGAAGAGCCUUUGGUGACUGUUAACCGUUUGACACAGGAUCAGGUUCAGAGAGCAGUGUAGGUGUGAAGGAAGCCAGAGAGUACACAGCCAGGGAGUACACAGCUGAGAAAUGCCUUACACUUUUGCAUUAUCCCUGUUUUUAAAUUUUAUUUGUGCAUUUUAGAUAUACAUCAUGAUGACAUUCACUGUAGGGAAUUUGCAUCUGUCAUCAUAUAUAUUGCUGCUUCUUUUUUUCCCAUUCCCCUCCCCUCCCUUCAACCCCUCUUCCCC